ACAGUCAGUGCUUAACAACUAUUAGAACACAUGGGGAAACUGAGGAUCGAGAAAGAUGAAAGGUUCAUCAAAGAUCAAACUAUAGUGGGUGACAAAUCCAGGAUUUCACCCAGUCUCAAAUGCCCCUUUGAAGUCUUCAAGAUGGGUUUGGUGAGCAUCCAGGCCCAAACCCCACCCCUCCUGGGUUGUCAUUCCAUCCCCGCCAGCAGCCCAUCCCUCUAGCGUGUCCUGCCUGAUCAGACACAGCUGACUUCAUACCUCAAGGGGAGGGGUCACCAAUCCUCCACAACCCUACCUCCAGGGAGCCCUCCAGGAUACCGCCUACCUUCCAGAUAGUGCCUGUGGACAUCCUUCUGUUGGAGGAGCAUCUGUUCAGCGAGGUAGAUGAAACCACUCUUGGAUGCACCGUUGUUUGCUCUGAUUUGCCAGUUUGAGGCCCUUGGACUCCCGCCAUGUCACCAAAGCCCUGCGCCUCCCAUCACUGGUUAAACGGCCAAGACCUUCCCAUACAAGAGCCUCUUGAUUCUUGCCUAAGGACUUUGCUUUACACUUUUACAAAACAAUAAAUGCUGUUAACAUUUAUUAAACAACGUACACAUCUGAUCUCAUUUGCUCCUUCCAC
rnacentral:lncRNA from 1 species